rnacentral:rRNA from 1 species
CCUACGGGAGGCAGCAGUGGGGAAUAUUGGGCAAUGGGCGCAAGCCUGACCCAGCAACGCCGCGUGAAUGAAGAAGGCUUUCGGGUUGUACACUUCUUUUCUCAGGGACGAAGAAAGUGACGGUACCUGAGGAAUAAGCCACGGCUAACUACGUGCCAGCAGCCGCGGUAAUACGUAGGUGGCAAGCGUUAUCCGGAUUUACUGGGGGUAAAGGGUGCGUAGGCGGGAAAGCAAGUCCGAUGUGUAACCCCAGGGCUCAACCUGUGAACUGCAUUUGAAACUGUUUGUCUUGAGUACAGGAGAGGCAGACGGAAUUCCUAGUGUAGCGGUGGAAUGCGUAGAUAUUAGGAGGAACACCAGUGGCGAAGGCGGGCUGCUGGACAGCAACUGACGCUGAGGCGCGAAAGCGUGGGGAGCAAACAGGAUUAGAUACCCUGGUAGUC